UUUUCUUGCGAUCUCUUCAUCGGCCAUUUUCUUCCGGCGUUUUGCCUUUUCGCUAUACGACUGUUUGCUGUCAACUUUAGCUGAUCUUGUCAUCAAAAUGGGUUUCCAAAACUUGUGGUAUUCUCACCCCCGUAAAUACGGAGCUGGUUCACGAACAUGUGACAUAAAAUUUUUUCUCAUCUAGCCGGGCAUGUGCCAACAGACAUGGUUUGGUUAGAAAGUAUGGCCUCAACCUUUGCCGCCAGUGCUUCCGCGAGUACUCGGCUGAUAUUGGAUUCAAGAAGCUUGACUAAAUACCCUGUGCUCUGAGAAUAUGUAAAUCCAGCUGCCAAAACAUCAUAGCCUGAAUACAUAUUCUUGGUGUUA